AACGAACGCUGGCGGCAUGCCUAACACAUGCAAGUCGAACGAGACCUUCGGGUCUAGUGGCGCACGGGUGCGUAACGCGUGGGAACCUGCCUUUAGGUUCGGAAUAACUCCUCGAAAGGGGUGCUAAUACCGGAUAAUGUCUUCGGACCAAAGAUUUAUCGCCUUUGGAUGGGCCCGCGUUCGAUUAGCUAGUUGGUAGGGUAAAGGCCUACCAAGGCGACGAUCCAUAGCUGGUCUGAGAGGAUGAUCAGCCACACUGGGACUGAGACACGGCCCAGACUCCUACGGGAGGCAGCAGUGGGGAAUAUUGGACAAUAGGCGAAAGCCUGAUCCAGCAAUGCCGCGUGAGUGAUGAAGGCCUUAGGGUUGUAAAGCUCUUUUACCCGGGAUGAUAAUGACAGUACCGGGAGAAUAAGCGCCGGCUAACUCCGUG
rnacentral:rRNA from 1 species